GUCGAAUGCUGGCGGCGUGUCUAAGGCAUGCAAGUCGAACGAUCCCGUUCGGGGAUAGUGGACAAACGGGAGAGUAACACAUUGGUAACCUUACCCUGAACUCGCGAACAACCCAUGGAAACGUGGGCUAAUACGCGAUAUCGAGUGGGGGGACGCAAGUCAUUCCCAUUGAAAGUUCCGACGGUUCAGGAGAGGCCUAUGUCCUAUCAGCUAGUUGGUGAGGUAAAAGCUCACCAAGGCUACGACGGGUACCGGGCGUGAGAGCGUGACCCGGCUCACUGGGACUGAGACACUGCCCAGACUCCUACGGGAGGCUGCAGUCGAGAAUCUUCCGCAAUGCACGAAAGUGUGACGGAGCGACGCCGCGUGUCGGAUGAAGGCCUUCGGGUCGUAAACGACUGUUCUGUGGGAAAAACUAUGAUUGUACCACAGCAGAAAGAGGUUGCUAACUCUGUGCCAGCAGCCGCGGUAAAGUGUGACUG
rnacentral:rRNA from 1 species